CGCGGGGCGGUGGCUGGAGAUAUUGGGGAGGGGGCUGAGUUGGGGGGAGCCUGAGGAAAAGGGGCCAACGGGGGGAGAGCAGCCCUCUGGGCAGACGAGUUAGAGGAAAAUGGCGCCCUCCCUGGCCGGGUGGGGUCCGCGUGGAGGCGAGGAGGCGGAGGGGCCCGGGUGUGGCGGAGAGGACGAGGUGCGAGGGGGAGGAACCGACGCGACGCCCUGGAGCCGGAGGGAGUGAAUCUCAGGGAGGCUGUGUUUCUCCGUGACUUGUCCUGAUGCCAGACGGUCAAAGAACGUGGAUGUACACAAGAAGGAAAUUACUCCUGGAAUUGAAUCAUACCAAGAAUUUCACCAGAGGAUUUUAUACAUUUGGGCUGUGGCAGCAGACCAAUUAAACCACAGAGCUGGUCUAGAGGUGAGAAGUCCAAGAUCAAGAGUGAGCAGAGUUGGUUUCUUCUAAGGAGCCUGAGGGAAGAAUCUGUUCCAGGUCUCUCUCCUUGACUUUUAGGUGGCCGUCUCCUCCUGUGUCUUCACACUGUCUCUUCUCUGUAUGUGUCUAUGACCACAUUUACUCUUCGUACAAGGAUGCCAGUCAUCUGGAUUAGGGCCCACCCUAAUGAUCUCAUUUUGCCUUAAGUACCUCUUUCAAGACCUUGUCUUCAAAUACAGUCACAUUCUGAGGUUCUGGGGGUUAGGAUUUCGACAUAGGAAUUUUAGGGGGAUAGCCCAUAAUAUCCCAUAUGACUAUGGCGAUCCAAAUUUUUGUCUUUCUCAUAUCCACACCUCUGAGAUAUUCAGAACCGUUUAUGUUUCCCUGCAAAAUAUGUCCAGGUGACCUGUAAUUAUGAGCAAUUAUUUUUCUGGACAUGAUAUAUUUUUAGUAAAUAUUAAAAGGAAAGUUCUUCGUUCAGAAGGAUGUCUCUACUUGAAAUGUUGUUCCAUCUAGCCUGUAGUCUACUAUUUUGGCAAAGAUAUAAAUAGAAUAAAGAGGGACUAUGUUGAAGAAGGGGUUUGACAGGUUAUUGUUUGGAGGUUACUAGGAUUCAUGGUAAAAAAAAUUUUUUUCAAACACUGUAUAUGAGGGAAAAGAGAGGCCUAUAUAAUGACAUUAUUUUUGGUAAUUCAAGGAAUACCAUUACCAUCAUUUACCAUCCCCACUAGUUAUUAAUUAUUAUUAUCCUGUGAGGAAACAGAGGGUUUACUCACUUGCCCAAGGUCUCACAGAUUGUAGCUGGUGUCUGCCCCAAGUCUAUAUGACUCCAGAGUUUAAACUCUUAACCGUUCAGAAUAAUAAAAAGAAACAAAAAGACUAAAAUGUUCCUUACACAUACACUUCUGAGGAGGCGAUAUAUCUAAGUAUACAUAAAUGAGUACUCUGGUUUGCCUUCAAUCUUAAUAUAUACUUAUAUCUUGAAAUGAUACUUUUUGUUCAGUGUUUGUAUCAUUGUUGAUUUCCUGUGUCAAAUGCAUCUGUCUGUCUUAGAUUUUGAAGUUAUAAAGGAUAAAACCCACGACCAGGUCAGUAUUUUAUAGUUUAUUUCAUUGUAGAUCUUGAAUUACGUUGAAAAUUUUAAAUAACUUUAAAAGUUUGGCUUUUUUCUUAUAA